UACGUAGGGUGCGAGCGUUAAUCGGAAUUACUGGGCGUAAAGGGCGCGUAGGCGGCCUGGUAAGUAGGGGGUGAAAUUCUGCGGCUUAACCGCAGAGCUGCCUUCUAAACUGUCAGGCUUGAGCACGGUAGAGGCUGGUGGAAUUCCCGGUGUAGCGGUGGAAUGCGUAGAGAUCGGGAAGAACACCGGUGGCGAAGGCGGCAUCCUGGACCGAUAUUGACGCUGAGGCGCGAAAGCCAGGGGAGCAAACGGG
rnacentral:rRNA from 1 species